rnacentral:rRNA from 1 species
CCUACGGGUGGCAGCAGUGGGGAAUAUUGCACAAUGGGGGAAACCCUGAUGCAGCGACGCCGCGUGAGUGAAGAAGUAUUUCGGUAUGUAAAGCUCUAUCAGCAGGGAAGAAAAUGACGGUACUUGAUUAAGAAGCCCCGGCUAACUACGUGCCAGCAGCCGCGGUAAUACGGAGGGGGCAAGCGUUAUCCGGAUUUACUGGGUGUAAGGGGAGCGUAGGCGGCAGCACAAGUCUGGAGGGAAAUGCCUGGGCUUAACCCCGGAACUGCUUUGGAAACUGUGCAGCGAGAGUGCAGGAGAGGUAAGUGGAAUGCCUAGUGUAGCGGUGAAAUGCGUAGAUAUUAGGAGGAACACCAGUGGCGAAGGCGGCUUACUGGACUGUAGCUGACGUUGAGGCUCGAAAGCGUGGGGAGCAAACAGGAUUAGAUACCCGGGUAGUC